GCCAGUGUGUGAACAAGCCUGUGGGAAGAUGCACUCCAAGUGGGAGAGAGUGUGCAGUGGUUCGUGUGACCAUCAGUGGAAAUGUUUCUGAAGACGUUUUCCUUGGUGGGCUUCAGGAACUCUUGUGUCCAUUGUCACAGAUCAAGAGAAUUAGGACAGAGGAUGCCGUGAGCUAGAUGUUAAGCUCCAAGAAAAGAACAAUGUAUGGGAAAUGAGUCUUCCCUGAUGGAAGUAACACUUGGCAGCAAAGAAGAAAAAGAAGAUGGCUGUUUGGUCCAGAGCAACUAGAGAGAUCAUUGCUCCAUUAACCAAAGCCUCCAUGAUGGCAGAAGGAUGGCCCCCCAAAGAUGGCCAUGUCCUAAUCCCCAGAACCUGAAGGGGCCACAAGCCCACAGCAAAGAGCAGAGGACCUCAGUCGUACAACUGCAUGGAACUGAAUUCUGCUGGCAAACCCAAUGAGCAGGGAAACAGAUUCUUCCCCCCCGGGAGUUUCCGGUAAGGAAUACAGCUCUGACGAUAGCAGAGCUAUAUUGUGUUGGGCUUCUGAUCUAUAGAACUGUGAGACACAAAUUUAUGUUUUUUAAGGUACUACAUUUGUGGUAAUUUGUUUUGGCAGCAACUUCCCACCCCACAGUGUAAAAGCCAAGCUGCUCAGAAUCCCCAUCUCCCUUUGUCUCUGACGUCAUUUCCUAUUACUCUCCCCUGGG